rnacentral:misc_RNA from 1 species
AAGUCGUAACAAGGUUUCCGUAGGUGAACCUGCGGAAGGAUCAUUAUUGAAUUAUGUUUCUAGAUGGGUUGUAGCUGGCUCUUUGGAGCAUGUGCUCGCCUGUUUGGACUUCAUUUUCAUCCACCUGUGCACCUGUUGUAGUCUUUGUCAGUUAUUGAGGAAAUGGUCAGCCCAUCAGCACUUGCUGGAUGUGAGGAUUUGCAGUGUGAAAGCAUUGCUGUCCUUUACUUGGCCAUGGAAUCUUUUUUCCUGCCAAAGUCUAUGUCGUUCAUUAUACCCUGUAGAAUGUCAUCGAAUGUCUAUACAUGGGCUUGUAUGCCUAUGAAAAUUGUAAUACAACUUUCAGCAACGGAUCUCUUGGCUCUC